rnacentral:tRNA from 1 species
GGGUUUUUAGCUCAGAUGGUUAGAGCGGCUGACUCAUAAUCAGCGGGGCAUGGGUUCGAGUCCCUUAAAGCCCACCA